AACACAGAGAGCUUGCUCUCGGGUGACGAGCGGCGGACGGGUGAGUAAUGUCUGGGAAACUGCCUGAUGGAGGGGGAUAACUACUGGAAACGGUAGCUAAUACCGCAUAACGUCGCAAGACCAAAGAGGGGGACCUUCGGGCCUCUUGCCAUCAGAUGUGCCCAGAUGGGAUUAGCUAGUAGGUGGGGUAACGGCUCACCUAGGCGACAAUCCCUAGCUGGUCUGAGAGGAUGACCAGCCACACUGGAACUGAGACACGGUCCAGACUCCUACGGGAGGCAGCAGUGGG
rnacentral:rRNA from 1 species